rnacentral:rRNA from 1 species
CACGUAGGGUGCGAGCGUUGUCCGGAAUUAUUGGGCGUAAAGAGCGUGUAGGCGGCCAUGUAGGUCCGGUGUGAAAACUCGAGGCUUAACCUCGAGAUGUCAUCGGAAACCAUUUGGCUAGAGUCCGGAAGAGGAGAGUGGAAUUCCUGGUGUAGCGGUGAAAUGCGCAGAUAUCAGGAAGAACACCAAUGGCGAAAGCAGCUCUCUGGGACGGUACUGACGCUGAGACGCGAAAGCGUGGGGAGCGAACAGG